AGAGUCCGCAUCCUCCAGAGCCCAUUCUCUGCAACUAGAGAAGCCCUUGCGACUAGAGAAAACUCUUCUUGAGCUGCAACAAAGACCCAGCAUGACCAAAAAUAAGUAAAAGUUAAAUAAAAGGUUUGUUUUAAUGGAACGCAGAAUUCUGUGACAGACUUUUGGUCAAGUUGUUUCCAUUAAAAAGUGCUGAUUUUCAUACAUGCUGCUAUAUUUAAAUAGAUAAACAAGCACCUACUUGUUAUCUAUUGAGCAGGGAAUACUGCUCAAUAUUCUGCAGUCGUCUAAAUGGGAAAAGGAAUUUGAAAAAGAAUAGAUACAUGUAUAAGAAUAAUUGAAUCACUUUGCUGUACACCUGAAACUAACACAGCAUUGUUAGUCAACGAUGCUUAAAUAUAAAAUAAAAAUUUAAAAAUGUUCAAAUAAAAAGUUGCUGAUUUUAAAAACUAAUAACUUUAAACUGCCCAUACAAAACAGAUGGUCCACAAAACAUUCUCCUUUCCUUCUGAAGGUUUUGUGAUGCAGUGUUAUCAUUAACCCUGUCUUUUAUUAUUGAAUGUAAAUAGCCAAUUGAGACAAACAGUUCUGAGACUAUUCUUCCACCACUGAUUAAGACUGGGGUGGCAGAUAUUGGGGAUAAUAUUCAUUUAGUCUUCUGAGCUUUCUGGGAAGACUUGGUGACCUUGCCAGCUCCAGCUGUGUUCUUGUCCACUGUUUUGAUGACACUCACAGCCAUCUAUUUCAUGUCAUGAACAGUGAAAAAUGACCCAGAGGAGGAUAAUCAGAGAAGCUCUCAAAACACAUGGCCUUACCAGAAACCAUAUCAAUGAUGGCAGCAUCACCUGCUUCAAGAAUUAGGGGCCACUUCCAGCUUUUCCUCAGAAUGACCAUCAGUCUUCAGCUCAGUAAACUUGGGAGUGAUGUGAGCUGUGCGGCAGUCCAGCACAGUUUAUGUUCUGUCAAUGAUGGCACUUGGCAAGAGUGGAAAGCAGAAGAGAAGCCCAGGCAUUUACCCCCUUCUCUUUUGGCAGCAUUGAAUGAAGGCCUGGGAAUUUCCUGGCGGUCCAGUGGUUCAGA
ensembl:lncRNA